GGGAGACUGAAUGGGAAUACUAGGUCCUGUAAGCUUUUUAUUUGGAUCAGUGUUUUCAUGGCCUCUGCACAACAUCCUGUUUUGGGAUAAAGGUUGGACACAGGUUUGAAGGGGACCCAAUCAAUCAAUCAAUCAAUCAGUCAGUCAGUCUUUUGAUUACACUAUUUAAAUAGGCCCCAUUUGGGGUCAGCUUUCGCUUACGGCCAUACCACUCUGAAAAAGCCUGAUCUCAUCUGACCUCGGAAGCAAAGCAGAGCUGGGCCUGGUUAGUACUUGGUUGGGAGACUGAAUGGGAAUACUAGGUGCUGUAAGCUUUUUAUUUGGAUCAGUGUUUUCAUGGCCUCUGCACAACAUCCUGUUUUGAGAUAAAGGUUGGACACAGGUUUGAAGGGGACCCAAUCAAUCAAUCAGUCAGUCAGUCAGUCAGUCUUUUGAUUACACUAUUUAAAUAGGCCCCAUUUGGGGUCAGCUUUCGCUUACGGCCAUACCACUCUGAAAAAGCCUGAUCUCAUCUGACCUCGG
ensembl:lncRNA